rnacentral:lncRNA from 1 species
CCCUUUAGUAUAGCCAAUUUAAAGUGGAAAAUUCCCUGGCCAGUUGUAGUAAUUUCAAAGUUCCUCUAGGGGGACACAGCAGCAGUUCCAAAUUGUAAAAAUAAAAUAGCUAUUCCAGCUUUCAAAGAUCCCCCCUUAGCCGCAAAGGGCAACAGUUUCAAGUCCAGUGGAGCUUUUCAAAAUCAAAGUAUCCCUCUCGCAGAGCUAACUGUCAGAAAGUUGCAUUGUCUUUUGACAGCGUGUUUCCCAAUACGGCAAUAUCAAUGUCCCUUGACAGUCCGUUCCCAGGCAUUAAGUGAUGGUCUUAGUUCACUUUCUCUCUUCUUUUGCGGGCAAAACUUACUUCCCCUUCUCCCUCCCCUCUCCCGCACCACAGGGAGGGAGUUCUCUUUUUAUUGAUGUAGGAUUUAAGUCUUUUUCAACGCAGUUUCAAGCUCUUUGCUUUUGACAGUCUUUGCUUUGAUCUAUUUACAUAAAAGGAAGGCGGACUUCCUGUUUACACCUUCCCGCUUCGGUGCCAAAUUAGCCCUUUUUUCCUUAAGUCCCCCGAUCUUCGGUCUUAACCUACUCACGGGUAGUUGUUUCUUAGCCGAAUUGUCACAGGAAAAAGGUCGGCGCUCUCCGGCAACAGCUGCGCGGCUUCACUCCACGGAAGAAGCAGUUGACUCUCAGCAUCGCGCCAAACUCCCCGCUCCGUUCCUGAACUCUUUCCAGGGUUCCCUCGCGAGUUGGGGGGGCGCUAAGGGUACCCGCCGAGUCCCACGGUCACAGCUACACCCGCCUGUGAUUUUCGAAGGGGUCCCCGCUUCGCCGUAGCGGCACGACCCGAUUUCCGCGGAGCUAUUCCCUCGAGACUAGAGGGAAUCCGCCAUUGCCGAUGGCGCCGCCUCCGGAAGUCCAGACUGCUGCAGUUUGGAUCCUAUUCAACUCAGUACAUAACACAAUUGAAAGAAGCCCAAAGCUUAUUUGUCUUCUUUCUAUGCACAUGGAAGCAAAAACAACCUGUUUUAUUUUGUUCAGGCUUCUUUCAUUUCGCUUUGAGAUUUUUGGAUGCACAGCGAAAGAACCUGAAACCAAGUGCAAGUGAAAGAUGCCCAAGCAAAGCUUAUUCGUCUUCUUUUUAUGCAUAUUGAACCAAAAAGAAUCUGUUUUCCUUUGUUCGGGAUUCUUUCACUUCGCUUUGCGAUUUUUGGGUGCACAGCCAUAGAACCUGAAACCUGGUGAAAAUAUCCAAUCAAAGCUUAUUCGUCUUCUUUUUGUGCAUAUUGAACCAAAAGGAAUCUGUUUUGACAUAACGAGUUAGAAGGAGGGGAGGGAGAGAAAGAGAGAGAGAAAAGGAAGGAGAGAGAUAGAGAGAGGGAUGGGAGAGAGAGAAGAAAGGGAGAGAGAGAGAGAGAAAGGUGGAGAAAGAAAGAGAGAAGAGGAGAGGGAGAGUGAGAAAGAUAGAAGAAAGGAAGAGAGAGAGAGAUGGAGAAAGAAAAAGAGAAGAGGGAGGGAGAGAAGAAAGGGAGAGAGAGAGACGAAAGAGAGAGAAAGAGAGAGAGAAAAGGAAGGAGAGAGAUAGAGGUACAGAGAGGGAAGGGAAAGGGAGAGGUAGAGAGAGAGAGAAGGAAGGGGAGAGAGAGAGAGAGGAAAGGGAGAGAGAGAGAGAGAUAAGAAAUGGAGAGAACGAGAGAAAGAUCAGGGAGAGAGGAAGAGAGAUAGAGAGAAGGAAGUAAGCAGAGAGAGAGAGAAGGAAGGGAAGAGAGAGAAAGAGUGAAAGUGAAGGUGAACGAUUUAGUUGAAUACUGCUACUACACAGAUACUGUGAUACUACACAGAUCCCUUGAAACUUUCAGUAGUUUUAUCAAAUUUGGUUGCUGUUUUGGGGGCGUGUCCCAUGGAAUUUCUCAGAUGUUUCCUUGGAGAAGAACCUUCAAUAUCACUUUGCAUUUAUCUUGAGCUGAAACUAAUGGCAUCCUCAAUCCUACCAACAGAAAAUGUCCUGGUGUAACACCAACUGAGUCUGCCCAUAGUUCAGGAACCUGAGUGAAUUUAUCUGAUAGUGUGUACUUUUUAGAAGCCCAGAGUACCUCAAUAUUACUGUUGUGUACAAUUAUGUUCUAAUGGAUUAUUGAAUAUUACUUCAUUUGAUAUGUUGCUUAUUUUAAAGUUAUUAUUUUAUUAUGACCUUGUUGUAUUGGAUCAGAUUAUAAGGUGUGUGAUCUUUGUUGUAUAUUUCGUUGUUGUAAACUGCCUUGUGUAAUACAGAAAGGAAGUAUACAAAUUAAAAGUGAACUGAAAUGAAAAAAUAGAGGAAAGUCACAUCAGGCCAGCUUCAACUAACCUGAUGUGCCAGCAAAAGCCCGUGCAAGGACUUCCGCUAGCCCAAAGUCAGGUUUCCCCAUUCACCCCACAAGUACCUCUGCACCUCCAUCAUAUCCAUUCUGGAAGGUCAGGAGAACCCCCAGAACAGCAGGGGGGGAGAUUGUUCCAACUGACAAAGUGCGAUGCUUACACUGAUGGAAAGAUCAUAAUAAUACAACACUGAAAUAUUUCCUCCCAUUCUUUCAGUCUGUCAUUGAUAUUUUAGUGCUGUAAAUUUAAGAAGCUAUUGAGCCAAAUGUUUGGUACUUUUUUCAUCAGAAAAAAAUCUGAUAUAGCAAUUACCAAAUUCAAGGGUUCAGGAGUUCAGAACUUGAGUGAAUUUCUGCAACACAAUGUGCACUUUUAAGAAGCCUAGAUAAAAGUCAUAUUAUCCUUUUCAGUUUAUGUUUGAUAUUUUGGUGUUGCAAAUUCUUAGAAGUUGCUUCUAGCUUCUGCUCUUCUUCAUUAAUUAUCCUCAUGGGAUGUGGUCCCUCUGGGAUCUCAUAAACAGUUCUGAAUUUCCAACAUAAGAUCAUGGAUUUAAAAAUGUUUGGAGAUAAUAUAAAUACUUUGGCAAUACCAUAAAAAUGUAAAUCUUAAUUGGUUCCGACAAAACUAUGUUUUGUUCUUAGCCAGAUGAAGAUUCUACAACACUAGUGAGUCAUCUAAAGAUUUAAAUUUCAAUAAGUAGGACUAAGUUAAAACGGAUGUUUGCUGAAUGUUCAAGCGCAUUCACAGUGGAGUGAUUUUUUUGAGAGGUAAGUGUGAUAAAAAGUUUUGAAGAUGUGUUUGACGCUGUUUCUAGUAAACAGUUGUAUAUGGUCUUUCAAUAUAGAAGGAGACCCUUAUGGUAGACAGAUAUUCCAUAAAAUAUAAGAGUGACGAAGAGUAUCUUUUUGAGUUGAGAAUCUACAUGCACUAAUUCAGGACCUAAAGAAUACACUUAGAGAUAUUUUAUAUGGUUGCUUCAUCUCCCCAAAUACACUGUGAUGCAAACAUGUUGUUAGAGCCUUGUUUCAGAUUAUUAUUAUUAUUAUUAUUAUUAUUAUUAUUAUUAUUAUUAUUAUUUACUGCACUUUCUGUCUCUUGUUUUUGUGAAACACCUUCAGUGUGUCAAAGUCAAAGAGCAGGAGAAAAAUCUCCUAAGGAAAUACUACAAACAAACAAACAAACAAAUGUUUUAGUUUGCUCCUUGUGAGUAAAGCUAGCAAGUGUGAAAGGAGUGGGGGAGGUUUGGUUUGAAUGCAAAUGAAGAAAGGGAAAAUGAAGAAAGGGAAAAUGCAAAUGAAGAAAGGGAAAAUACCCUCUAUGCUUUCCUAAUUACACAGAGCCAAUUGAAUUUGUUAAUCUGCUAUCAAAUGUUAGUCAGUUUGCAGUACAACCUGGUGAAUGUUAAUGUAUCACCUAAAUUAGAUUAUAUGCCUGUUGUCUUUGUCCAUGGAGUUUUCUUGGCAGGUAUACUGGAGUGGCUUGCGGUUCCUGCUCCAGGUGGAUCACGUUUGGUCAAAACUCUCCACUAUGACCUGUCCAUCUUGGGUGGCCCUGCACGGCAUAGCUCAUAGCUUCUCUGAGUUAUUCAAGCCCCUUCGCCACGACAAGGCAGUGAUCCAUGAAGGGGAUCUGAUCUGGUCCAUGGGGUCACGAAGAGUCGGACACGACUAAACGACCAAACAACAACAAAAUUAGAUUAAUCAACAAAAGCUUUACAUUUUGCCUUUCAUUAGUGGCUGGGACUUAGUCAUGAUCUCUACACAUGAACUUUUAAUUUGUUUUCCAUUUAUAACAUUUCACAACUGAGGAAAUAAACAGAAGGGCUGGAAUGUCGUACAUGAGGUCCAAUGAUAUUUGAUAUCACUUUUUACAGGUAACAUGGAAGAAUGGGGCAACACAACUGCAGUGACUGAAUUUGUUCUAAUAGGCCUCUCCAGAAACCCCAAAGCACGUGCUGUUUUGUUUAUUCUCUUCUUGCUGAUGUACGUGGUUGUUGUAGCUGGGAAUGGACUUAUUGUGGUGCUCAUUGUGAUGGAUUCGCACCUCCAUACACCCAUGUAUUUCUUCCUCAGCAACCUCUCCCUCAUUGAUGUUUGCUAUGUCACCACCUCUGUCCCACAGAUGCUGGCCCACUGCUUCACAGACAGGCCCACAAUCCCCAAGGGCAGAUGUUUUGCACAAAUGAGCAUUGCUCUGUUUUUGGCAGUGGCCGAGUGCCUUUUGCUAGCAAUGAUGGCGUAUGACCGUCUUGUGGCAAUAUGCUACCCUCUACGUUACAGCUUAAUCAUGAGCCAAAAGUUGUGCAUCUCUCUGGCAGUCAGCCUGUGGUCUAGCUCUUUCCUCCUGACCAUUGUUCCCUUUUUCAGUAUGCAGGCACGCUUGUGUGGGCCCAAUGUGGUGAAUCAUUUCAAAUGUGAGCUCCAGGCAGUGUUGAAAUUGGCCUGCUCUAAUACCCAAGCCAGUGGAGUCAGCAUGAUGGUAACCAGUGUCUUCACUCUGGUGUUCCCCUUCUCCUUUGUUUUGGUGACCUAUGGUCGCAUUGGUGUCGCUGUUCUGCAUAUCCGCUCAUCACAAGGCCGUAGUAAGGCCUUGUCAACCUGUGGUUCUCAUCUGGCUGUGGUGGGAAUUUUCUAUGGCACAACCUUGGCCAUGUACCUCAGGCCUCAAGCCAAAACAUUCACUGACAAGGAAAAAGUAGUGGCUGUGUUUUAUGGGGUCGUCACUCCCAUGCUCAAUCCCAUGAUCUACAGCCUGAGGAACAGGGAUGUGAAAGGAGCCCUGUGGAGAGCAAUUGGAAGGAAAGUGGAGGAAUAAAGCACUUCAGAAAUUAAAUUCUAUAUUGAUAGAUAGAUAUCAGCAGGAAUACGUAAAGUGUUUUGUUAUUCUGCAAAUGGGUGGAGUUCAAAGUAGUGCUAAGGAGAUCAUUCCAUCAGUGUAAGAAUUUCUGCUUGUCUGAAGGGAAGGAUUUCCACUUCAAUGUGCUUCUCUGGAGCAGAAUGGGGGGGGGCUGCCCAUUUGCACUAGCAUGAGUCAUGCUGGCUCCCACUAGCACAACUUAUUUAAUUGAAUCUAGUCCAAUAUUUUUAUUGCUGCUGGUGGUUAUGGUGGCAAUAUAGCUUCUCAUAGUGAGGAAAGGAAAAUAUUUAGCUGUACCCCAAGCAGUUUACAAAUCUAACUAUAGGCAUGGGCUGGGGGAACCUGUGGUCCUCCAGCUGUUUUUGGACUCCAACUAUCAUCAGUCCCAGCUAGCAUUGCCAGUGUGAUCAGGGAAGAUGGGAGCUGUAUUCCAGCAACAUCAGGAGGCCCCCAGGUUCUCCAUCUUUGCUUGAGUAAAAGAGUAAAAGGCAAGGAAAGGCAAGGAUAUUUACAGUUUCUUCUCUGCAGAUUUCUUGACAUCCUCUUUCCAAAAAUUGUAUGAUCUCAGAAGCAGUUUUAUUUUUUCAAUCACAACUAGUAAGAGAUCGGUUUUUGGUUUUUGGUUUGCUUUUCCUUCCUUCUUUCUCUUGGGGAGCAUUGUUUCCUAGCUUGUCUUCAGAAAUUCUCCAUUAAAACACACUUUUUAGGCCAGCUAACCAAAUGUUAAAAAUUUAAAUCACCAUUUAAAUCACCAUGUUGUAGUAUCAUUUAAACUUGAGUGGUACAUGAUGUGCAUAAAAUGUUUUUUGUAAGAUUAAACCAUAUUAAACAUCUUUCACAGUAAGCAAAGUCCAACUCUUCUAUUUACCAUGUGAAAGAUCUAUCACACAACCCUCAGAAGUACCAUUUUCAGCCAUCAAAUAAAUUAUUUACAUAUUCAGAGUACAAACAAUUUGUAUUAAAUUGUCUGUGUAUUAAAUAAAUUUAUUAUAUAUAAAUAUCUUCCUCUCCAAGUCCUUAGAAUUAUUUCCCUCUUAUUUUACCUUUAGCUAUGAAUUCCUUGCUUCAGUUUCUGUUAUUCUACCAAUAUGGCUGUGGGGCUAAAAGAGUAUCAGUUGAUUAUAUAGAACAGGUAUGUCCAACUUCAAGUAGGCUGUGACCCAGUAUCAAAAACUGGCAGUGAUCUACCACACUCUUCCAUUGUCAUUCUUCAACUUAAACAUAUUAUAUUUGGCUGAGCUUAUAUUUGGCUUCCCCAAGGCCUUAGCGGAGGACCAUGUCCAGCCCUGCAAAAUGCAAUAUUGCUUCCCACUGCAGGAAGAUGAGCUCCCUUUCCUGGGUUUAGGAAGCUGCCUUAUACCAAGACAGACAGACCUGACAGAUUGGCAGCUUCUCUCCAGAACUUCAGGCAGGAGAAUCUUCCCAGCCCUGCCGGGGCCUCAAACCCAAGUUUGCAUCCUUCCUCACACAAGCACAAACCGCUCCAUGAUCAUGCUGCUCCCCUGCCCCAUGAAAAGUUCCUCAAGGCAAGGUGGCGUGUCACAACCCCCACACCAGCUCCCUCCCAGGGCCCUUGGCACACAUGGGAAGCCAACAUGCCCCCCCCAAGUUCAAUUUCUCCUUUUACCAGACAAUGAGUUCCAACAAAAAACAAAAACAGAACAGUUAUACUAAAAUUAAUCUCCAACCAGAUAUCCAUCCCACCCACCCCCAACAAAGC